ensembl:lncRNA
CUCCGAUUCGCCCGUUGGGGAUGAGAUUUUGGGGUGAAAAACUGGGAUUGUGGGGAAAUUAUUUUGGGGGAUUUUUUCCCAGGAUAUUUUGGGUGGAUUUCCCAGGAUUUUUCGGGUGAUUUCCUGGGAUAUUUUUGGGCAAUUUCUCAGGGUAUUUUGGGGUAAUUUCCCAGGAUAUUUUGGGGUGAUUUCCCAGGAUUUUUUCGGGUGAUUUCCUGGGAUUUUUUUGGCAAUUUCUCAGGAUAUUUUGGGGCAAUUUCUCAGGAUAUUUUGGGGUGAUUUUCCUGGUAUUUUUGGGUCAAUUUCCCAGGAUAUUUUGGGUUGAUUUCCCAGGAUUUUUUCGGGUGAUUUCCUGGGAUUUUUUGGGCAAUUUCUCAGGGUAUUUUUGGGGUGUUUUCCCAGAAUUUUUGGUGUGAUUUUUCCCGGGAUUUUUGGGGCAAUUUCCCUGGAAAUUUUGGGGCAAUUUCCCAGGAUAUUUUCACGUGAUUUUCCCCAGGAUUUUGGGCCAAUUUCCCAGGAUAUUUUCCUGUCAUUUCCCAUUAUUUUUGGGUAAUUUCCCAGGAUAUUUUUGUGCAAUUUCCCAGUAUAUUUUUGGAUUAUUUUUCCCAGGAUUUUGGGGUAAUUUCCCAGGAUAUUUUCAUGUCAUUUCCCAUUAUUUUUGGGUAAUUUCCUAAGCUAUUUUUGGAUUAUUUUUCAAAGUAAAUUUGAGGUAAUUUCCCAAGAUAUUUUCAGGUCAUUUCCCAUUAUUUUUGGGUAAUUUCCCAGGAUUUUUUGGGGUGAUUUCCUGAGAUUUUUUUGGCUAAUUUCCCAGGACAUUUUUAGUGUAAUUUCCUAGGAAAGUUUUAACAUAAUUUCCUGGGAUUUGUGGUGUGAUUUCCCAGGAUAUUUUGGGGCAAUUUCCCAGGAUUUCUGGUAUGAUUUUUCCUUGUAUUUCUGGUACAAUUUCCAGCUAUUUUUGGGGCGAUUUCCCAGGAUUUUUAGGGGAAUUUUCCCCAGAAUAUCUUGCACAAUUUCCCGUUAUUUUUGGGCCAAUUUCCCAGGAUAUUUUCAUGUGAUUUUUUUCCCAGGAUUUUGGGGUAAUUUCCCAGGAUAUUUCUGGGUAAUUUCCCAGGAUUUCUGGUGUCAUUUUCCCCAGUAUUUCUGGUGCAAUUUCCAGCUAUUUUUGGGGCGAUUUCCCAGGAUUUUUAGGGGAAUUUUUCCCAGUAUUUCUGGUGCAAUUUCCCGUUAUUUUUGGGCCGAUUUCCCAGGAUAUUUUGGGGCAAUUUCCCCAGAUAUUUAGUGUGAUUUCCCCCGCUAUUUCUGGUGCAAUUUCCAGCUAUUUUUGGGGCGAUUCCCCAGGACUUUUAGGGGAAUUUUUCCCAGUAUAUCUUGUGCAAUUUCCCGUUAUUUUUGGGGCAAUUUCCCCAGAUAUUUAGUGUGAUUUCCCCCGGUAUUUCUGGCACAAUUUCCAGCUUUUUUUGGGGCGAUUUCCCAGGAUUUUUUAGGGGAAUUUUUUCCAGUAUAUCUUGUGCAAUUUCCCGUUAUUUUUGGGCCAAUUUCCCAGGAUAUUUUUGUGUGAUUUUCCCAGUAUUUCUGGUGCAAUUUCCCAUUAUUUUUGGGCCGAUUUCCCAGGAUAUUUUGGGCCAAUUUCCCAGGAUAUUUUCAUGUGAUUUUUCCCAGGAUUUUGCGGUAAUUUCCCAGGAUAUUUCUGGG